GCGGCGAGCGCGCAGGCGCGGAAGGCCCCGUCGGGAUGCGCCAGCCUUCUCCACUAUGGCGCUCAGGCCUCAGAGGACCUUCCGGCGGCGCCAGGUCGAGUCCAGCGACAGCGACGGCGACGGCGCGGAGGAGCGGAGCGCUGAGGAGCCGGCGAAGGCAGGCGGAGGAGCCGAGGGAGCGGGGCGGCCGCGCGGGGCCCGCGGCGCCCGGGGCCGCGUCUGGGCGAGUUCCCGGCGCAGCCCCGGGGCCGCGUCACGCGAGGACCGCGGCGCAGAAUCCAGAAAAGCUGAUCUCUCCUCCGAUGAAGAAGAAGGAACACAUCCCUUACUGGAAAGUAAGGAUGACCAGAGUCCAUCCUCCAGUAGCUCUAGUUCUCUGGAAGAAAAGGAAGUUUCACCCAUAGUUAAGAUCCCCGAUGCAGCUUUUAUUCAGGCAGCCCGCAGAAAACGUGAGUUGGCCAGGACCCCACGUGACUAUAUUUCACUGGAUGUAAACCAUCCGUCCACCACUUCUGACAGUAAGAGAAGCAGUGAAGAGGACCCAGAGAGUGAUCCUGAUGACCAUGAAAAGAGAAUACUAUUUGCUCCAAAACCUCAAACACUCAGACAAAGAAUGGCUGAAGAAACAUCAAUCGGAAAUGAAGAAGCAAGUGAAGAGAGUCAGGAAGAUGAAAAUGAAGAUAUUUGGGAACAGCAGCAAAUGAGGAAAGCAGUUAAGAUCACAGAGGGACAAAACAUAGACCUUUCCCACAGCAGUAAAUCUCAAACAGUGAAGAAGUUUGAUACUUCCAUUUCAUUUCCACCAGUAAAUUUGGAAAUUAUAAAGAAACAAUUAAAUAAUAGAUUAACAUUACUACAGGAAUCUCAUCGGUCGCACCAGAGAGAAUAUGAAAAGUAUGUACAAGACAUCAAGAGUUCAAAGACUGCUAUUCAGAACCUCGAGAACACAUCAGAUCAAACUCUAAACUACAAAUUCUACAAAGGCAUGAAAACUUACGUGGAAAAUAUAACUGAUUGUCUAAAUGAAAAGAUUAUCAGCAUUGAAGAACUAGAAUCAUCUACAUACACAUUGCUUUUAAAACGGUCAGAAGCUCUUCUGAAACGGAGGCAAGAUGAGUUAAAAUGUGAAUCAUUGUAUUUGCAACUGUUAUCACGCAAAGCAGAGCCCUCGGCAAAUGGAACCUUGGCUGUAGAUGAAAAGGAUCAGCGGACUUUAGAAGAGCUUGAAGCUGGAAGGAUGCAGAGAAGACAGACAAGGGUGCUCACUGGCAGCUGUGCUCAUCAGGAAGGGACAUCUAGUGAGGAUGAGCUGUCUCCUGCAGAGAUGACUGACUUCCAAAAACGCCAAGGUGACAUUUUACAAGAUUGUAAGAGAGUUUUUGAAGAUGUGCAUGAUGAUUUUUGUAACGUCCAGAAUAUUUUAUUGAAAUUUCAGCAGUGGCGCGAAAAGUUUCCUGAUUCCUACUAUGAAGCCUUCGUUGGUUUCUGCUUACCAAAGCUUUUAAGUCCCCUCAUACGAGUUCAGUUGCUUGAUUGGAACCCUCUUAAGAUAGACUCCAUGCAUCUAAACAAGAUGCCCUGGUUCACAGCCAUAACAGAGUUUAUGGACAGCAGCACGGAAGAUCCAAGAAAAGAUGGUUCUGAUAAAAAAAUUUUGUCUGCUGUCAUCAACAAAACAGUUGUUCCUCGCCUUACAGAUUUUGCAGAGACCAUUUGGGAUCCCCUGUCAACCUCACAGACAACAAGUUUAACAGUGCACUGCAGAGUGGUUUUUGAAGAGUCUGCUUCUGAAAAUGAAGUUAGUAAAAGCAAACAGGAUUUACUUAAAGCUGUUGUUGCAAGAAUGAAGAAGUCAAUAGAAGAUGAUGUCUUUAUUCCUCUAUAUCCAAAGAGUUCUGAAGAAGGAAGACUGUCACCAUACUUAAAGUUUCAAGAAAGACAGUUCUGUGGAGCUCUAAAGCUCUUCCGCAAUAUUCUUCUUUGGAAUGGACUUCUUCCAGAUGAUACCUUGCAGGAGCUGGGACUGGGGAAGCUGCUGAAUCGCUACCUUAUUAUCGCUCUUGCUAAUAAUGCCUUCCUUGGACCAGAUGUUGUUAAAAAGUGCAGCCAGAUAGCAGCAUGUCUACCGGAAAAAUGGUUUGAGAACUCUGCUAUGAGGACAUCAAUUCCCCAGCUAGAAAACUUUGUUCAGUUUUUGCUGCAGUCCGCACGUAAAUUAUCUACAGGUGAAUUCAGGACUAUCUGCCCGUGUGUGCUCACACCAGCAGCUCCAUAGCGUGUUUCCUUGUGGCCUGACAGCUAGUGUCACUGCCUUAGGGAAUGACCAGCACUUCACCUUUAACUGCAGCAUGGAUGUGCAUGGAUGAGGUGUUACAGGACAGAAUCCAGGAAUGAAGUCAAUGAAAUAAUUCUCAUCCUGGUAAAGGUAAAAGCUUUGAAUCAAGCCGAAUCCUUCAUAGAGGAGCACCACCUGGAUCCCCUCACGCCCCCAAUUACAGGUGUUUGAGUGCGCUAUACGGAGGUGCUGAGAGUCAUGGAUGAGGUACUCAGGGCCUUUGCUUGUGCACAGCUGUAGUCUCUUGGCUUCCUCUGUGCCCUGAAAAGCUCUCCUUUCUGGUGCGGUGUCUGAGGGGAUUAUAUGCAGAGCAGCAAUUAAGAGUUCCACAUGUUUCUCUUUAAUUCUCUGAAUCUGAGAAGGAAAGGAAGACAUCUCACCACAGAAGCAAGUCCAGAGUCAAAAUAAACUUCAGCUUGGACAUUCUUAAAACUUAAACUGUUGACAAAUCGCUCAUGAGGAAGUCUUCAAGUGAAUUACUUGUUAAAUGGUUGACAUUUUUUAUUACAGAUUGUCCUUCCAAAAUCUGUACUGAUUUAUUGUAUGAACUCAGUGAAAGAGGGCCAGUGGGUCUCCAGAUUUUUAAUUCGUUGUCAAUUUGUUAAGAAAAAAAAAAAAUCUUAUAAAAAAUAUGUACCUGUUUUUA